CAACCGUAAAAUUGCAGUUGAUACUGUCAGUCUUGAGUACAGUAGAGGUGGGCGGAAUUCGUGGUGUAGCAGUGAAAUGCUUAGAUAUCACGAAGAACUCCGAUUGCGAAGGCAGCUCACUGGACUGCAACUGACACUGAUGCUCGAAAGUGUGGGUAUCAAACAGGAUUAGAUACCCUGGUAGUCCACACAGUAAACGAUGAAUACUCGCUGUUUGCGAUAUACAGUAAGCGGCCAAGCGAAAGCAUUAAGUAUUCCACCUGGGGAGUACGCCGGCAACGGUGAAACUCAAAGGAAUUGACGGGGGCCCGCACAAGCGGAGGAACAUGUGGUUUAAUUCGAUGAUACGCGAGGAACCUUACCCGGGCUUAAAUUGCAGUGGAAUGAUGUGGAAACAUGUCAGUGAGCAAUCACCGCUGUGAAGGUGCUGCAUGGUUGUCGUCAGCUCGUGCCGUGAGGUGUCGGCUUAAGUGCCAUAACGAGCGCAACCCUUAUCUUCAGUUACUAACAGGUCAUGCUGAGGACUCUGGAGAGACUGCCGUCGUAAGAUGUGAGGAAGGUGGGGAUGACGUCAAAUCAGCACGGCCCUUACGUCCGGGGCUACACACGUGUUACAAUGGGGGGUACAGAAGGCAGCUAGCGGGUGACCGUAUGCUAAUCCCAAAAUCCUCUCUCAGUUCGGAUCGAAGUCUGCAACCCGACUUCGUGAAGCUGGAUUCGCUAGUAAUCGCGCAUCAGCCACGGCGCGGUGAAUACGUUCCCGGGCCUUGUACACACCGCCCGUCAAGCCAUGGGAGCCGGGGGUACCUGAAGUACGUAACCGCAAGGAUCGUCCUAGGGUAAAACUGGUGACUGGGGCUAAGUCGUAACAAGGUAACC
rnacentral:rRNA from 1 species